GGAGAGGUGCCAGAGUGGCUUAAUGGGCUGGUUUCGAAAACCAGAGUGUCCGCAAGGGCACCGGGGGUUCAAAUCCCUCCCUCUCCGCCA
rnacentral:tRNA from 1 species